UACGUAGGUGGCAAGCGUUAUCCGGAUUUACUGGGCGUAAAGAGGGCGCAGGCGGCUUUUCAAGUCGGAUGUAAAAUCUCCCAGCUUAACUGGGAGGGACCAUUCGAUACUGUUAAGCUAGAGUACAACAGAGGGAGGUAGAAUUCCCGGUGUAGUGGUGAAAUGCGUAGAUAUCGGGAGGAAUACCAGUGGCGAAGGCGGCCUCCUGGGUUGUUACUGACGUUUAUGCCCGAAGGCGUGGGGAGCAAACAGGAUUAGAUACCCGCGUA
rnacentral:rRNA from 1 species